GUGUACUGUAUAAAAAAUACAUUGAUAUCUACAAUGUGUACUAAUGUUUUUUUUACUCAGACUUUACAGGGACACGUCAAACAGCUAACCAGAAUUCCUCCCUGUUUAUGAGUGCAGAGCAACAUACAGUUCAGCCCACAAACUCCACCAUAAACGGGGCAGGUGGAGAGAGCCUCCAAGAUAAACACAAGAGUUUGACUAUUGUGACAAUUUUCACCGCCACUCUCGUCUUGUUGGUUGUUCUCGCUGCCUUUGUUGGAUACAGAAUAAUGAUAAAGCGCAGUAAGUCUGUUGUAAACUAUGCUUAAACCAUUUCAGGAUUAUAAUAAUCUAUUUCUUAAAAUAUUUUCUUUAAAAAAAUCAUGUGUUGUAGAUAACACCAAGACUGAGGGCCCUGACAUUACUGCGGUAAGAUAAAGCCCAUUUUUGUUUUUUAGUAUGGUAAUAAAUAAUUGGUCAUCUUCCUCACUGUGUCACAAUCUGGUUGUACUUGCUUCCUGUUUUAUUUUGAAAUGUUCACUCCCCCUUGUGUCGUGUCUUGUUUUACUUCCUGUCCUUGUGUUUUUUUCCAUCCCUCUGUGAUUGUUGAUUUGAUCCUCCUGUGUCCAUUCACCCUGCCCUUGUGUCUUUGCCUUUCUCCUCCUGCUGUAUCUCGUUUCUUUGAUUAGUGUCUGUAUGUAUAUAUCCCCGUCUGUCC
rnacentral:lncRNA from 1 species